GCGGAUUUAGCUCAGUUGGGAGAGCGCCAGACUGAAGAAAACUUCAGUUAAAAGAAAUCUGGAGGUCGUGUGUUCGAUCCACACAAUUCGCA
rnacentral:tRNA from 1 species